AGGGGGCUAGCUUAUAUAAAGUUUGAGUCUCAUAAACUUAAGAAGCAGGUUGUGCGUCCCCUA
rnacentral:tRNA from 1 species